rnacentral:snRNA from 1 species
AGAUGUGAGGGCGAUCUGGCUUUUUGACAUCUGUCACCCCAUUGAUAACCAGGGUUGAUUUGGCUGAUCUGGCUGGCUAGGUGGGUGUCCCCCUCCUCCCUCACUGAUCCACAAGCAUCCCUCCCGAAGCUGUGUGCUCAGUGAAAGAGGACGACCUUCCCCGCAGAGGAGAGGAUCAGUUUUGGGUCAAGGGUAUACGAGUAGCUGUGCUCCCCUGCUAGAACAAGCUCUAAAUAGAAAUAUGUUUAUUUAAUACCCUAAAUAUCCAAUCAUGUAGAUUAUCAUCACUUUUUUU